rnacentral:rRNA from 1 species
UACGGGGGGUGCGAGCGUUGUCCGGAAUCACUGGGCGUAAAGGGCGCGUAGGCGGCCUGAUAAGUAGGGGGUGAAAUCCUGCGGCUUAACCGCAGGGCUGCCUUCUAAACUGUCGGGCUAGAGCACGGUAGAGGCAGAUGGGAAUUCCCGGUGUAGCGGUGGAAUGCGUAGAGAUCGGGAAGAACAUCAGUGGCGAAGGCGGUCUGCUGGGCCGUUGCUGACGCUGAGGCGCGACAGCGUGGGGAGCAAACAGG